AUGUCGCGGUGGCGCACCGUCGCAUCCCGCCUCUCCGCCCCCCACCUCCUCUCCAGGGCCUUCUCCAAGCCUCCGCCGCUUCUUCCCCAGCCUCUGUCUAGGACCUUCUCCAAGGCCGCCGCCACGUCGCACAGCCCUAGCGCGGCCUCCUCUGCCGGCCCGAGGCCCGAGGUCCGACUGAAUUCUAUGUUCCUGUCCAAGCCUUCUUCACUGGCACUGCCUCCUGAUUCUCCUCUUAGAGCAGAAGAUCCACACUAUGAGGGAAUUAAGCGCUUGAUGCUCACACUGCUGCUGUUCUACAGUAAGCAAAGCAAGUCCAUCAGAGGAGCAAACACUGUUUAUCACCGCAUCACUUCUCAUGUUGACAAGCCUGAUAUCUAUGAAGUGUUUCAGUUGGAGAAAACAUUUAAAACAACAUUUUCAUUGCUUGUUCUCCAUAUGUGGCUCGUUCUACGUCGCUUGAAGGAAGAAGGAAAGGACGGUGUUAAAUUUGGACAGUACAUCUAUGAAACUUACAAUCAUGAUGUGGAGCUCAGAGUUUCUAAGGCUGGGGUCAACUUGCUAUUGACAAAAUGGAUGAAAGAGCUAGAAAAAAUAUUCUAUGGGAACAUUGUGAAAUAUGAUACUGCAAUAAGCCCAGAAGCAAGCCAGGAUGAUCUUGUAAAUGUCAUCUGGAGGAAUGUGUACGCUGACGAAGGUUCAGAGCCUAUGGACGCAGCUGCUACCCCUGCUGUCCAGGCAUUGGCAAGAUAUACUCGGAGGGAGGCAACUUGCCUAUCAUUGACAGAUAAAGAAGCUGUGUUCUCUGGCAACUUCAAGUUUACGACCGUUUUGCCAACCGUCCCCAGCCCAGUGAAGCGACGUCGAUGA
rnacentral:rRNA from 1 species